rnacentral:tRNA from 1 species
GUGUAGCGCAAUGGACAGCGCGUUGGACCUCUGAUUCAAAGGUCGUGGGUUCGAAUUCCACCUGGGAUA